GUCUACGGCCAUACCACCCUGAAUGCUCCCAAUCUCGUCUGAUCUUGGAAAAGUAAAUUUAACUAGUGAGUAUGUUGAAAAUAAAUGCUUUUUUAAUGAAUGUUUGUUAUAAAUC
rnacentral:rRNA from 1 species